rnacentral:miRNA from 1 species
AGGCAAGAUGCUGGCAUAACUAAU